rnacentral:rRNA from 1 species
CCUACGGGCGGCAGCAGUGGGGAAUAUUGCACAAUGGGGGAAACCCUGAUGCAGCGACGCCGCGUGAGUGAAGAAGUAUUUCGGUAUGGAAAGCCCUAUCAGUAGGGAAGCAAAUGACGGUACCUGUCUCAGAAGCCCCGGCUAACUACGUGCCAGCAGCCGCGGUAAUACGUAGGGGGCAAGCGUUAUCCGGAUUUACGGGGGGUUAUGGGAGCGUAGACGGCGCGGCAAGUCUGAAGUGAAAGGCAGGGGCUUAACCCCUGAACUGCUUUGGAAACUGCCAUGCUAGAGUGCUGGAGAGGUAAGUGGAAUGCGUGGUGUAGCGGUGAAAUGCGUAGAUAUUAGGAGGAACACCAGUGGCGAAGGCGGCUUACUGGACAGUAACUGACGUUGAGGCUCGAAAGCGUGGGGAGCAAACAGGAUUAGAUACCCGUGUAGUC